rnacentral:rRNA from 1 species
CGAAGGGCGUAGCGUUGCUCGGAAUCACUGGGCGUAAAGGGACGCGUAGGCGGCCGAUUAAGUCGGGGUGGAAAGCCUGUGGCUCAACCACAGAAUUGCCUUCGAUACUGGUUGGCUUGAGACCGGAAGAGGACAGCGGAACUGCGAGUGUAGAGGUGAAAUUCGUAGAUAUUCGCAAGAACACCAGUGGCGAAGGCGGCUGUCUGGUCCGGUUCUGACGCUGAGGCGCGAAAGCGUGGGGAGCAAACAGGAUU